rnacentral:rRNA from 1 species
GACGAACGCUGGCGGCGUGCCUAAUACAUGCAAGUCGAACGAGAGCGACCGGUGCUUGCACUGGUCAAUCUAGUGGCGAACGGGUGAGUAACACGUGGGUAACCUGCCCAUCAGAGGGGGAUAACAUUCGGAAACGGAUGCUAAAACCGCAUAGGUCUUCGAACCGCAUGGUUUGAAGAGGAAAAGAGGCGCAAGCUUCUGCUGAUGGAUGGACCCGCGGUGCAUUAGCUAGUUGGUGAGGUAACGGCUCACCAAGGCCGUGAUGCAUAGCCGACCUGAGAGGGUGAUCGGCCACAUUGGGACUGAGACACGGCCCAAACUCCUACGGGAGGCAGCAGUAGGGAAUCUUCCGCAAUGGACGCAAGUCUGACGGAGCAACGCCGCGUGAGUGAAGAAGGUUUUCGGAUCGUAAAACUCUGUUGUUAGAGGAGAAUAAGUGCUAGAGUAACUGUUAGCGCCUUGACGGUAUCUAACCAGAAAGCCACGGCUAACUACGU